rnacentral:tRNA from 1 species
GCCCCAGUAGCUCAGGUGGAUAGAGCAACUGCCUUCUAAGCAGUCGGCCCCGGGUUCGAGUCCUGGCUGGGGCGCCA